UCGGAGAGUUUGAUCCUGGCUCAGGACGAACGCUGGCGGCGUGCCUAAUACAUGCAAGUCGAGCGGACUGAUGGGAGCUUGCUCCCUGAAGUCAGCGGCGGACGGGUGAGUAACACGUGGGUAACCUGCCUGUAAGACUGGGAUAACUCCGGGAAACCGGGGCUAAUACCGGAUAGUUCUUUUCCUCGCAUGAGGAAAAGUGGAAAGGUGGCUUUUAGCUACCACUUACAGAUGGACCCGCGGCGCAUUAGCUAGUUGGUGAGGUAACGGCUCACCAAGGCAACGAUGCGUAGCCGACCUGAGAGGGUGAUCGGCCACACUGGGACUGAGACACGGCCCAGACUCCUACGGGAGGCAGCAGUAGGGAAUCUUCCGCAAUGGACGAAAGUCUGACGGAGCAACGCCGCGUGAGUGAUGAAGGUUUUCGGAUCGUAAAGCUCUGUUGUUAGGGAAGAACAAGUGCCGUUCAAAUAGGGCGGCACCUUGACGGUACCUAACCAGAAAGCCACGGCUAACUACGUGCCAGCAGCCGCGGUAAUACGUAGGUGGCAAGCGUUGUCCGGAAUUAUUGGGCGUAAAGCGCGCGCAGCGGUCUCUUAAGUCUGAUGUGAAAGCCCACGGCUCAACCGUGGAGGGUCAUUGGAAACUGGGGGACUUGAGUACAGAAGAGGAAAGUGGAAUUCCACGUGUAGCG
rnacentral:rRNA from 1 species